AUACAUGUUUGGAGGAAGAUGGUGUUUAUAGACUAUCGCUAGCUUAGACUCUUCCAAACCUUUAGCUGGCAUCACAACAGAAGCUGAGGCCAUCAGAUGCACUUCUUGCCUUUGAGAGGGAGCACCCUGGAUCCUUCCAUUGACAAAGCCUCAUCUAAGAGGGAAUUUGAAAACGAGAAGUAGGGAUUCCAUUAAAUCAAGGGCCUGCACAUUUCUCCUCCUCUGUAUUCCACAGAUCCAGAGUAUCAUGGGGGAUUCAUCUGUCUUCUUGAGCAUUUCCUGGCUAGGUGACCGCGGAGGGCAGAAGAGAGAAUCGGAUACCCUGGGCCGGCCAGGAAUUACAGGUGGUGGUGAGUAACCCAACACGGGUGCUGGAAGCUAAGUCCUCUUGUAAGAGCGGCGGGUGUUCUUACCGACCAAGGGCAUCCUUUCCCUCGAAUAAGUCGUAAGCUACAGAAACCUCCAUGAUCUUUUAGACGCAUACCUGUUAACUUGUAGGAGAUGAGAGGAAAUGAAGCAAUAGAAGAUUUAUUGCCCAUCUAGUACCUGAAUUCUUAUAAAUUACACAAUGUUGGAUAACUUUCUGCAGCCUAAAAAAAUGAAUGAUAUCAGCAAUAAAUGUCAUUUGAUAUUUUAUGUGGUAUGUCUAUUACAAUGAUUGGCAACUAUUUAUCAUUUAUCCAAUCAAAUCAGUAUUCCUUCUUUCCUUCCUUCCUUCAUAUCCUUCCUUCCUUUUUUUUUUUUUGUGCAGAGAGCACACCUGGCUACGAACAGAGAAUUAAUGAAACAUACCCCUUACUUCCAGUAAAUAGACAGUUGAUGAGAUAGGGACAAGAAAAAGCCAACUUCAUUUGUUUCCUUUUCUUGGACAUGUAACAACUGAUCAUAAAAAUACAAUGAUAGGCAAUGGGAAAAGUGUAUAUAC